rnacentral:rRNA from 1 species
CUGCGUCUGAUACUGUUAGGCUAGAGUUAUGGAGAGGAAGNCGGAAUUCCUGGUGUAGGGGUGAAAUCUAUAGAUAUCAGGAAGAACAUCGGUAGCGAAGGCUGCCUUCUGGACAUAAACUGACGCUGAUGUACGAAAGUUAGGGUAGCAAACAGGAUUAGAGACCCUGGUAGUCCUAACUGUAAACGUUGUAUACUAGGUGGUGGCAUUUUGAUCGUGUCACUGCCGUAGCUAACGCAUUAAGUAUACCGCCUGGGGAGUAUGCCGGCAACGGUGAAACUCAAAGGGAUUGACGGGGGCCCGCACAAGCAGUGGAGCAUGUUGUUUAAUUCGAUGAUACGCGAGGAACCUUACCAGGUCUUGACAUAUACCUGAAUGUUGUAGAAAUACAUCAGCCUUCGGGCAGGUAUACAGGUGCUGCAUGGUUGUCGUCAGCUCGUGCCGUGAGGUGUUGGGUUAAGUCCCGCAACGAGCGCAACCCUUAUUCUUUGUUGCUAACAGUUCGGCUGAGCACUCUAAGGAGACUGCCGGUGACAAACCGGAGGAAGGUGGGGAUGACGUCAAAUCAUCACGGCCCUUAUGACCUGGGCUACAAACGUGCUACAAUGGGCGGCACAAAGAGUUGCGAUACCGCGAGGGUGAGCUAAUCUCAAAAAACCGUCCUCAGUUCGGAUUGGAGUCUGAAACUCGACUCCAUGAAGCUGGAAUUGCUAGUAAUCGCAUAUCAGCCAUGAUGCGGUGAAUACGUUCCCGGGCCUUGUACACACCGCCCGUCACAUCACCCGAAUUGAUUAUACCCGACGUGGCCGAGCUAACCCCUUUUGGGGAGGCAGGUUCCUAAGGUAUGGUUGGUAAGGGGGAUGAAGUCGUUAACAAGUA